CAGUAGCCACGGUAAUACGAAGGGGGCUAGCGUUGUCCGGAAUUAUUGGGCGUAAAGGGCUCGCAGGCGGUUUCUUAAGUCUGAUGUGAAAGCCCCCGGCUCAACCGGGGAGGGUCGUUGGAAACUGGGAAACUUGAGUGCAGAAGAGGAGAGUGGAAUUCCACGUGUAGCGGUGAAAUGCGUAGAGAUGUGGAGGAACACCAGUGGCGAAGGCGACUCUCUGGUCUGUAACUGACGCUGAGGAGCGAAAGCGUGGGGAGCGAACAGGAUUAGAGACCCGAGUAGUCCCUGUCUCUUAUAC
rnacentral:rRNA from 1 species